rnacentral:SRP_RNA from 1 species
UCACUGGACUUGGUCGCCUUGCAUUCAUUGGAUUCACUUCCUUGCUUCUGAUUAUUUUAAAUGACGUG